rfam:Xenopus tropicalis strain Nigerian scaffold_145_contig_10, whole genome shotgun sequence.
GUUUCUGUAGUGUAGUGGUUAUCACGUUCGCCUCACACGCGAAAGGUCCCCGGUUCGAAACCGGGCAGAAACU